AUCUUUAAAACUCAACAAGUUCCUUUUAGACUUGGAGGAGAACAUUUUGACUGAUAUCAUUAAAACUCAAUAAGUUCUUCUUAGACUUGGUGGAGAACAUUGCAUUCUCUAAAAUAUCAUUCCUUUAGGCAGAGUUAUAGUUGCUCUUCAGUAGCCUUCAAUCAAUUUAAUUCCCAUAGUUUGCCAUACAAAAGAGAAUAUACGAACAUGAGAAUAAACAAGUUCAAUUCGUUUGUUUCACAUUUAAACAA
rnacentral:lncRNA from 1 species